rnacentral:rRNA from 1 species
AUGAACGCUGGCGGCGUGCCUAAUACAUGCAAGUCGAGCGAACAGACGAGGAGCUUGCUCCUCUGACGUUAGCGGCGGACGGGUGAGUAACACGUGGAUAACCUACCUAUAAGACUGGGAUAACUUCGGGAAACCGGAGCUAAUACCGGAUAAUAUAUUGAACCGCAUGGUUCAAUAGUGAAAGACGGUUUUGCUGUCACUUAUAGAUGGAUCCGCGCCGCAUUAGCUAGUUGGUAAGGUAACGGCUUACCAAGGCAACGAUGCGUAGCCGACCUGAGAGGGUGAUCGGCCACACUGGAACUGAGACACGGUCCAGACUCCUACGGGAGGCAGCAGUAGGGAAUCUUCCGCAAAGGGCGAAAGCCUGACGGAACAACGCCGCGUGAGUGAUGAAGGUCUUCGGAUCGUAAAACUCUGUUAUUAGGGAAGAACAAAUGUGUAAGUAACUAUGCACGUCUUGACGGUACCUAAUCAGAAAGCCACGGCUAACUACGUG